CCUACGGGUGGCAGCAGUGGGGAAUAUUGGACAAUGGGGGCAACCCUGAUCCAGCCAUGCCGCGUGUGUGAAGAAGGCCCUCGGGUUGUAAAGCACUUUCAGUGAGGAAGAACGCCUGGUGGUUAAUACCCAUCAGGAAAGACAUCACUCACAGAAGAAGCACCGGCUAACUCCGUGCCAGCAGCCGCGGUAAUACGGAGGGUGCGAGCGUUAAUCGGAAUUACUGGGCGUAAAGCGCGCGUAGGUGGCUUGAUAAGCCGGUUGUGAAAGCCCCGGGCUCAACCUGGGAACGGCAUCCGGAACUGUCAAGCUAGAGUGCAGGAGAGGAAGGUAGGAUUCCCGGUGUAGCGGUGAAAUGCGUAGAGAUCGGGAGGAAUACCAGUGGCGAAGGCGGCCUUCUGGACUGACACUGACACUGAGGUGCGAAAGCGUGGGUAGCAAACAGGAUUAGAUACCCGUGUAGUC
rnacentral:rRNA from 1 species